rnacentral:rRNA from 1 species
UACGGAGGGUGCGAGCGUUGUCCGGAAUCACUGGGCGUAAAGAGCUCGUAGGCGGUCCGUCACGUCGGCUGUGAAAACCUGGGGCUCAACCCCGGGCCUGCAGCCGAUACGGGCGGACUAGAAUUCGGUAGGGGAGACUGGAAUUCCUGGUGUAGCGGUGAAAUGCGCAGAUAUCAGGAGGAACACCGGUGGCGAAGGCGGGUCUCUGGGCCGAUAUUGACGCUGAGGAGCGAAAGCGUGGGGAGCGAACAGG